UACGGGGAAUGUGUGCGGAGGCUGUUAGGGGUGCUGGGCAACUCCCCAACUCCGCGGGGCCCUGGUCGGCCCUGCUCCCGCGUCCGAGAUCUUCGGAUCACUCGCUGCGCGCUGCGCGGGGCCGGCGACUUGGGGCGGCGGGGCUGGGAGUACCUUGACCUGGGGUCCCCGAAGCCGGGAGCCAGUCCCGCCUCGUCUGGGCCUGCCUUGCCCCCCCGGGGCAAGGCCUGGACCCGGUCGCAAUGAUUUGUACCCCUGGGGAGUCAAGCCGCCCGGGUCGCCCUCGCGGUCUCAGGGACUUGUCUGGAGCGGCAGUGGCUGAGUCCGGGUCCGGCGCCACCGCCGCCUGCGUCCCGAGCGCCACCCGCCCGGGGUACCAGCCGCCUAACUUCUUCCCGGGACAGAGACAGCGCUCGCGUCCCGGGAGAAGGUGGGAGCUCACUGGGCCGGAUUCGGCGAGGGCGCCGCUCUCAGCGCGGCAGUGGCAGCGAGGGAACUGGUAGAGAGAACUCAACCACAGGGCAGGGAGCCCCCCACCCAGGACCCAGCGGGCCCCAGCGGACGCGGGGGGAAGAUGCCCGCCUUGGGCAGAGGUCCUCUCUUGUUUUCGCGGCACUGGCGGGACCGUGUGCUCCGCGAGCUCCCACUUUGGGACCGUGGCUCCAGCAGUUCGAGACCCCCAGUGGAAGGCCAGGGGCGUGAAGGCAGACCCUUUGCUCUUUCUCCCAGCCAGGCGAUUGCUCUGCUGCCUGGAGCAGUGGUGUUGGGGGCUGCACAGCCCAGGAAAUUCCAACCCAGAGGAAAGGCCGCCUCGUUCCCACUCUUCUCAGCGGCCCCACACUGCCCCUUGCCACUGAUGGAGAGGCUCAGGAGAGCAGUGCCUGUGCUUAGGGCUGUCAGCUGCCCUGGUGGAUCUGCUCCUGUUCCUCGGGCUGACAGACACUUGGGGAUUCCAGAACACCGGACAAGAUGCUCAGGACCAUCUGGCUCCCACAGGCCCCUGUAUGGGUGGAGCAACUCCCAGUGCCAGGAGGUUGACGCUGAGACUUCACCUCGGGGUGGGUCGGGUCACCCAGCAGGAGGAUCCCCAAGGGCAACGCCUGGCACAGAACAUUGGAGAGCUGCAAGUGUGCUGGCUGUGCCCUUGCCCAGCCUCAUAGUGACCUGGUUGCCUUGGCUACUGACUCUUUGUCUCCCUGCCCCUCCUUUGGCCUGUUGAUGCUCUGGGAAAUCCCAGGCUCUGUCCUGCCUCUGAGCUUCCACUCAUGCUGUUCCCUCUGCACUUCCCCCUCCCCUGGUAACUCUCAUUUCUUCUCCUGCUCUGCCUUCACCCUCACCUGGGCUCAGCCUGCCGCACCCCACAGAGGGAGCCAGGCCUUCCCUCUGUACCCUCUUGUGCCCUCUGCCUCCGCGGGACCGUGUUUCACCACUGGUUUCUAUGUUGGCUUCUGGUCAGGACCUGGUUCUCCCAGGCUGGGCCAGCUGGGCUCCUCUGUAGUGACUAACCCGCACUGAGCCUCCAGGAGGAGCCCAAUAAACCUUUGUGAGAUGAGCAAAUGCGUGCAGUGUGAACUUACUGGAAACUCGUAUUGGGUGAACUUCAAUGUAUUUCAUUCUGCCCUUUUGCACACCAGCAGGGGUGUGUCUGCAGCCAGGCCAGGUGAAGUCUUACAUCCUGGGGUGGGGGGGUCCCCUUCGGGUGUGGUGUCUGAUGAAGGCAUCUGGCCCCUGGCCCCUGAGCCGGUCUGUUUCCCUUCCUGGGAUAAGCAGGCCCUCCCCCGGGCACCCGGGCCCCUUUCUGGAUGUGCUCAUGCGUCUCGCUUCCUUCAAGAAUGAUUUCUUCUUUUCCAGCCCCCUCUCUGACACCACCUCUCUUGACUCCAGCUUGAUUGGGCUGAACAGGUCUACGCCCUGCAGGUGGGUGGUGGCUGUGGGCUCAGUGGCCUGGUUGUAGAGGUGUCCUUGAACAGCAGGUCUCCGUCUCUCUUCACAUGCCGGGCUCUGGCAGGGCCCCUUCGCUGGAGUGGAUGGUGGGGCUCUGGGGUGGCUGGGCAGCCUGGGAGCCAGGCCAGGAGAGCUUGUUGGGGUCCCAGGGCCUGGAUGGAGCAGGAGUGUUGGCAGUAUUCCAAGGUCGGAGGAGGCCUGGGGCUCUGGGCCGAGGAGAGGAGAAGGCCCAGGAGGUGACGCCCCAGCUACCUGCUGUGUGACCUGGACACAUCCCGUCCCUCUCUCGGCCUCAUCUGCAUUGCAAGGGGAUCAGGCGGCUGCUUUCCAGUGCCUUCCCCGUGCUCUUCCUCCAUAACUCCAGAAGAUUCUAGGAAGUCCUCUAGGCCCUGCUCCUGGAUGCUACUGUUGGGCGGGUGAGACCCCCACUUGAGGCCCGAAGGCAUCUCUGGCCUCAUGUCCUCAUUACCUGCUCCCAGUCCAUCGUUCGCCUGCCCCAUUACUGCCGCAGCUCUGGGGCCUCACAUUUUGGCCUGCCUCUGCUUUUCCAGCCUGGCCUGUGCUCUGACUCGUUUCUGCCCUGAGCUCAGACCCAGCUGAACACCCUCUUGUGCUCGGCCACGCCCCUGUGGAGGGCAGGCUGACAUCCUGCCAGAGGCCCUGCGUGGGAGGCUGCCCAGGGGCACCUGGGGCCUGCCUGGGGCUUGAGGGGCAUCGGGAUGCUGGGCCGUGUGUGCAAAGGGCAGGCCCGGCUCUGAGCCCUGCAGCUGGCUGGAGACCACCUGUGGGUCACUCUAUCCUGUCCAUCUCUUACUGUCUCUGGAAAAAGGUGGGGCACAAUCAGCCAGCAGACAGGCACCGCCCAUCACUUCGGUUCUGUGGGCCUCAGCCUCCUGACUGAGAGGUGAGCUGAUACCAUGAUUGCUGUGUUCACCACGUUAUCUGUGGUGGCAACGCGAGGUGUACUCGUGUGUGCGUGUGUGUGUCUAUUUAUAUCUGGCCUUGUUCCGAAGUGCAUUUCAAGCCUCUUGUAGGAAGCCAUGGAAUAUCAGGGGUGCCACAUGUGAGAAGAAAAAAUAAAAACAAGAAGAAGGACCCACUUCCCACUGGGGCCCCAGUGCAGCCCCAGAGUCCUCUACAUGGAUCGUGGACUGGUCGCAGAUUUCGCCUUGAAUAUCCUGAUGGUUAAGCCUCAUUGGCUAUGAUUCCCCAACAUCCAGAAGAUAAAAAUGACUGUCCAGCUGCAUAAAAUGUGGGACUGUGCACAUGGCCUUGCUGGACGGAAUCCCAGCAAUGCUGUUUCUCAGGCAAGCUAGCCUCCGUCUCUGAAUCUGGGGGUCAUCGCAUGCAGACACCCCAGGGCUGUGUGCAAAUUAAGUGAAACAGGGCUGGUGGCUGCACGAUCGGAGGAGCUCCGGGCAGAGAGGGACCCUUGCCUGGGGUGGCCAAGGGCUCAGCCAGCCAGUAGAGUGGUGAGGGCAGCAGUGUGCUUGCUGAUGAUGGCUCAGCCCAGCUCUGGCUGUCUUGUGGUGAGAGUGCCCUCCUGACCUGGUUGUCCUUUUGGGAUCUGUUCCCCUGCUCCCCUAAUCCCUGGUGCAUGCUAGGCUCCCAGAGGGGUCUGGGCACACAGCGAGUCAGGCACAUUGUCUGCCCUCCAGGAGCCCCCCAGCCUGGCCAGGACCCUGGGAGGGUAGGUGUGCUCACAGAGAAGGCUCCUAGCAGAUGAAGGCAGGGUCCGUGUGGCUCUGUGUGUCACAGCAGCCUCUGUGUGUGUCGAGCUGUGUGAUCUUGGGCAAGUUACCUGAAUUCUCUGUGCCUCCAUCUCAUCAUCGGUGAAAUAGGCAGAACGUUCAACCCCACCUAAUGAGAUAGGAAUUUUAUUACCCCCACUUUACAGAUGAGAAAACUGAGGCUUGGAGAGUUGAUUUGCCUAAGGACACAUAGCUAAUGUCUGACUCUAAAACUUUCACUCACUGGUUAACGGGAGAUACUCAGUCAGAGUACUCUGGGGGCAAGGGGGCUUACCUGAGGAGGGAGGGGAAGGGGGCAUGGGAAGGCCAGGAGAGGGGGAUGUGGAGGCCUGGCCUCUCAGCAGCAUGGGAGUCCUGGAGAAGAGAAGGCCGGUUGUGCUCUUUGGGGGCACACUGCGUUGGUGGUGCCUGUGGGUCUCAAGAGAAGAUGUCCAGGACUGGGGGCAGAGGUGCGAGCCUCAGCAUGAUGCGUUUGUAAGAAAGCCUUGUUUGUUUUGGGGAUUUCAUGCUGUCAGGGGGAGGAAAGAUGGUUGCGGACAAUUGGGAGGGAAGACGGCAGGAGGGAUAAACUCCCAGAGCACCUUCACCUUGGUGGCGAAACCAGCCAAGCUGGCAUGGAGCAGGCUGAGAGCCGGGCCGCCGGCCCCAGGCCUGGGGCAGCCUCCGCAGCCAGCCAGCCCAGAGGCCCUGCAGCUGCAGACCAGAGCCCACCGCUCUCUCGCCAUUGCUUCAGGGCAGACACUCUGAGGAUGGCGUUUCGAGGGCCCUCAGGUGGUGGCAGGUGAGGAAGCCCACUGGCUGAGGCCGCCCAUUAAGGACCAGGCCUUUCCAUCUGAGGGCCUUUCCAUCUUCGGAAUCUCACAGAUUUGAUUCGAAUCCUGACUCUGCCUGCUGUGGCCCGCGUGGCCUUGGGUGCAUUCCUGAACCCCUCUGAACUGUGGUUGUGCCCUCUGCUCGUGGGUUUAGGGAGAGCCCGGGAGAGAGGGGAUGUGGCGUGCCUGGGCCAUAGGGGCUGGAGAAACAGCAGCUGUCUAUAUGGGACUGUUUCUCCUUUGCCAGUGUCUGGGGGUCUGAUGGGAGGGACUGGCAGCAAUCCAUCUCUGAACGGGCAAAGUCUGCCUGCACUGGUGUCGUCAUAGGGUUCCAUGGGCUGUGAAUAGGGGCGAUGGUGGUUGAGCCCAUGCGGCCAGAGUGGACCAGGUCUUCCCUGGCUCCUGCAGAUCCUGUCACCAAGAAGGCCCUCCCUGCCUCCUCAUCCUCCACCUGCAGAUGCUGGCCUCAUCCUUCGGAGCUCGGCACAACUUCCCCUUCUCCUUACAUCUCGAAAUACCCAAAUCCGAGAGCUCUGAUUACCUGUCUCCCUUACUGACUACAAGCUUCUGGAAGGCAGGCUGGGACUGACUUGCCUGCUGCCAGGCCAGCACAUAGUAGGGCGGGUCCCAGGAGAGAGUCUGGAUUUGAACUCACUCCCAGGGUGACCUCAAGUAAGCUCUUGGGGUCUCUGAGCUUCAGUUGCUCGAGGGGGUGCACUGGCCUGUCUCAGAGUGGCAGUGUCCCUGCCAGCCCCCUACUGCCACUACGACCCUGGGCAGCAAAUCACCACACAGCAAUGAGGCUGUUUCUCACGUGCUGUGGGGUUCAGCUGCUCGAGGUACUCUGCUGAUCUUGGUGGGCUUCCUGGUGGUGGCAGCUGACUUAGGGUGGCCUGGGGUGGGAUGGCAGCAACUCUGCGCUGCUCCAUGUGUCCCUCAUCCCCGGCCUGAUCUCCCAGGAAUGGCAGAGGCACAGAAAGGCAGCAGCCAUGACACACAAGCUCCUUUGAAGCCACUGUUCCUUCUGUGUCUGCUCACAUCCUGAUGGCUUGAGGAGGUCGCAGCGCCCGCCGCACUCAGCUGUUCUGAAGACCCACGCCGGCCCUGUCCUGGAGGGGCUCUUGUCCGGGGGCGCGAGUGCUGGAAUUCCAGGACAAGAUGUUGCUGCAGAUGGCAGAGGAGGAGACCCCAGCCUGCAGCGACCUGGCUUCCUACAGGCCUUUCUGUGACCUACAGAGACCCAGCUUUGCCGGAGUUUCAGAACAACUAUUGUGGGGAUGUGAGGGGUACGGUGGGUUUGACUGUGGGGUGGAGGGGCGGGCAGAGAACCUACACAGCUGCCCUGUGGGAGGCCCCCAUGGGGCCGGCCCCUGUGCAUCCUCACCCUGAUGCCCCUUGGUGUCCCUGGCCUAGCCUGCUUCCUGUCCUGAAGGCUUAGAACUGAGGCUGGGACCUCCUGGGGGUGCACUGAGGUCUGGGGGCGGGCCGUGGACAGCCUGGCCUUGCUCGGGCCCUUCCAAGUCUCAGCCUGGGCCGCCCGUGGGCCCAUGAUUUGGGAUCUGGGCUCUAAGAACUCUAGGAACUGCUCCCCAAGACCUCAGGCUUGCCGCUGGUCCCUGGCGGGGGUGGGGUGGGGUGGGGUGGGGCUCGUGGUUGGUAGCUGGAGGCUACACCAGACAGGAAGACCCCUGAGACAAGCCUGGAAGCCCUGGAGGAGUGGGGAGGAGACCACGAUGGGGAGAGAGAGGCAAGGCCCUCGUUCUGGAGCAGAUUUUGAAAGCAGGGCUGGGAAGUGCUUGGGCAGGUGCACAGCAAGUGAGCUGGGACAGAGGGCCCGUGAAAGGGAGGAGCUGCAUGGGGCGGGGGAAGCCAGGCCCCACCCUCCUUCCCUCCUGCCCCUCCCUCCCCUCCCUUCCCCUGUCCCCUCCGCCUCCCUUUCUCUCUCCCCCUCCUCCUUUUCUCCCCUCAGUAGUAUCCCUUCUAUAUCUGCCCCUCCCUCCCUCCUUCAGCCACCUCUGAGCCCAGGACCCUGGUCCCUGGGCUGGCUCCGUGCGUUAGGAGAUGCUCACAGUGGUGCCCCAGCCCUUUACAGCAAGAACUUCUGUGACCACCUCAGGGCCAGCUGUUAAUAAGAGGAGGACAGUCUCAUAGUAAGUGUAGAAUCCACUACAGGCCCUCAGCCAGGCAGAUGGGCACAGUGACCGCCCUGCAGCCGGGCUCCGGAGGUCAUGCUGGAGGUUACGGGCAUGCCCUGGGCAGCCCAGCCACCCGUUGUCCCAGGAUGGACAUGCUCACCUCCCCAGACCCUGUGCAGGGACCUGCUGGGGCCAGCCCCUCCCUUGGGGACAGCCCGGCCUGGCUGCUGAUGGCCGGAGAGCGAUGCUCUGAGCACCUCUGUCCUCAGGAAGGGCUCUUUGGAGAGGGAAAAAGAACACAUUUCAACACCUCCAGAUUCUGAAAAUGGAUUUCUCCCAGGGAAACAGAGACUCAGAGCACGCUCCCUUCCCCGAGAAAGAGCCAGGAAAACAGCGGGGGAGCAGGGGAGGGGGAAGGGGAGAGGCCGCAACAGGAUGAGUAUCCUGGGAACAGGAUGUGGAGCCGGAGAGACCUGGAUGCAAAUCCUGCCGGCCAGUGACUGGCUGUGUGACCCUGUCGUAUGACUUGCCCUCUCUGGCCUCAGUUUUUCUUUCUGUUCAUUGGCGUAAGUCCCUGCCUCAUAGGGGAUGCUUUGAGGAUGUAAUGUGGAUAAAGCAGUUCUUCAUCUUCAUCCUUUUCUCAGGCUGAGAAGCCUUCCUGAGUCCAGGCCAGUGUUGGAGCAUUUCUGGAGGUCAUCCUGUUGGACCCAGGAAUGUUCAGGAGGGUUGAUGAGUCUGGGACUGACUGCUGUGUGGCCUCAGCCAAGUAACCAGCCCUCUCUGGGCUCCAGUUUCCUCUUCGUAAAUGGGAGCAGGAUCUCCACUGACUGGUCGCUGGGAGGGUCAGCCAGGAUGUGGCUGUGUCGCCAGGCACAGAGCCAGCUCCCAGGAUGCUCUGAGUGGUGGGGGUAGGGGAGUCUCUGGGGGGAGGCAGGGCCUGUCUGCCCUGGGCAUGGCUGGCCUUUGGCUCAGCUGUCCUUCCCUUGCUUCCAGGGCAGGCCCUCCCCUUCCCCUGCUUUGGCUGGCACAGAUUUGGGGCUGCCUCCUCCAGGCAGUCUUCCCAAUGCCUGGUGGAGACUGAAGGGUUCCCUGGCUCUGGCUAGUCGACACAAAGCCACCUGUCUCUGGGCACUUCGUAGCUGCCUCCCAUGGGGCUUCUACACUUCCAGUCUCACCACCUCUUCUCCAGCUUCUGGAGGCAUGUUUGAACGUCUGCUCUCUGCUCGGGAUGCUGCCUCACGGGCAGCUGCCCACAGCUUCGGGGUGACAUCCAAACCUCCUGGCUGGGCCUUUGAGGCCUCCAGGAGGGGCCUUCGCUUCCCUCUUCUGGCCCUUCCCCUGCCCCUGCCUGACACCGACCCAGCGCUCUGGUCACAGAAGCAUAGAAGCCAUGUCUCUACCGAGUGCCAGGCCUUGGGAGCAGCGAUGGAGACCACCAGCCUUUCCACGAGGCUCCAGCCAAGGGUCUGGGAGGCAGGGCACCUUGCCGUCAGACUCACUGUCUACACUUGGACCCCUGUCUUCUGGCCCUGGGUCACGCGCCUCACACCGACCACAGAUGCUCUGCGUGUGCUCCACCCACUAGUGCUACCACCUCUGCUUCUGGAGCUCCUUCCAGCUCGCCUUCCUGAAUCCGAGCUGUCCUCCGAGACUUGGCCCUGAUGUUGUCUCCUUACAUUCCUCCUCCGAUCGCCUCUCUACCUCCCUGCAGUCAGUGUUGCCUUUGACUCACAACCUUGGUUCAGCAUGGUCCUGGGAGGGAGGGGAGAUGGUGUUCUAGUGGCCAAGGUUCCUAGUUGUCCCCCAAUAUCCACUCUCCUCUCUUACUAAAGUAAAAGAAACUCCAAACUUGAGCUGAGUCCAUGGCUGCUCUUUCAAAUUCUCAGCCCUCCAUGUAACUCCAUGGACUUAGACCAAUGACAGAUGACAGACGUGAUGGCAGGAGCUGGAGCAGCCAUAUUGAUUGCAGAAUGGAAGCUGGGUGUGGAGGAUGACAGAGCAACAGGGCAGAAAGAAUUUGGGUCAACACAGCAUCAGCCUAGACUGUGGAAGCUCAGACUGCUACACGAGAGGGACAAAAGAAAAACAACCUUCUAUCUGGUUUAAUCCAGUGUUACUUUGACAUUUGUUACAGCAGCCAAAAUGUAUCCUAAUUAGUACAGAUCCAGGGAGAGAAGUACAUCAACUGUUUGCAGAAUGACUAAGUGAUUACCAACCAGAGGUCAGCGAGCCACUGCUUGGAGGCUGCCUUUCAGAGGAUGUGGGGUCAUGGAGGGGUGUGUGCAUGGGUCUGAGUCCUGGCUCUGCCACAUCAUAACUGUGGCUCCGUGGGCAAGCUGUGUCAUAGCUCAGUGGCUCAGAUGCCUCUUCUGUGACAUGUGGCUGAGAGGAGGUGACGCCCAUAAAGGGCCUGGUUUCAAAGGGGCUUUUUAAAAAAUUCUUUAUAUUUGUUUUUUUAAAAAAUGUAUUUUUUGGGGGGAGGUAAUUCAGUUUAUUUGUUUAUUUAUUUAUUUAAUGGAGGCACUGGGGACUGAACCCCGGACCUCGCGCAUGCUAGGCAGCAGCUCUGCCACUGAGUCACACUUUCCCCACAAAGGUGCUUAUUGGUGUUGGGUUUCAGUGAGGGCUGCAGGGUCCCCCGACCCUCUUCUGGCCUGCCCCUCCACUGUCACCUCCCCAUUCCUAGUCAAAGGGACCGCCCUCCUCUCCCCUGCACCCCUGCCUUUCCCGGAGAGAGCUGGUGGAUUUAAUGAGCCCACAUGAAAACAUCCAGCUUGUAACAAUGAAUAUUUUCCACCAGGACUUUUCUUGUGCUAAAUUAAUGAUCUUGGAAGCUCUGGACAUGGCUGCAGAGGAGAAAGGGGAGUUUCCUUUCCAGAAGCUGUUUCAGUAUCGCAGGGCUCUAGGCGCCCUGGGCUGCCCUUGUGCGCCCCCAGCCCCUGCUGUCCCCGCAGGAAGCAGCCCUGACUUGACCCCUUCAGAGGAGCCUCCUUGGAGCUCUCUGCUCACCCCUCACUGGUUGCAUGGAGCCUGGCAGGCCACACCUUGCCCCUGGGCAGCCUCCAGUCCAGAGCGCAGGCCCCUGCAGCUAACCGACGAAGUCAGGAGGAGGCUUCCCUCAGCCCUGGUUCCAUUUUUGGGGCCCUGGACUCCAAGACCCAUGAGCCCAGAGGGGCCAGAUAGGCACUGAGCCAGGAGUUUCAAGCUCCCUACAGGUCGCCCUGGUGGCAGUGCUGAGGGUGGGGGCCUGGGAGAGUGGGUCUGGGGGUCCCACCCCCAGGUCAGUUGGCGGCCUUGCUCUCUUUCAUAUUUCAGCUAGAAUAUGAUACAGAGGGAUUCACAGCUAUAAAAACAUCGUUUGAGAGUAGAUGGUGUGGUUCCCAGCCACCCCAUUUAAAACAUUUUUAAUUGUGGUCAAUUACAUAUAACAUAAAAUUUACCAUCUUAACCAUCUUCUCGCAUAGCAUUAAGUGCAUUCACAUGUUGUGCACCCAUCACCACCGUCCAUCUCCAGCACUUGGCAUCUUGUGGAACUGAAACAGCAUUCAACACUCACUCCCCACCCCCUCCCGCAGCCCCUGGCAACCACUCCUGCUUUCUGUCUCUGUGAACCUCACAGGAGGGGAAUCGUAAAUGUUUGUCCUUUUGUGACUGCUUAUUUCACUCAGCACAGUGUCCUUAGGAUAUAUCCCUGUCGUAGCCAGAGAUGUCCUUCCUCCUUCGGACUGAAUCAGGCUCCGCUCUCGCAUAUCCGCACAUUGUUUAUCCAUCACCCAUCAGUGGACAUUGGGUUACUUCCACCGUUUGGCUAUUGUGAGCAAUGCUGCUGUGAACACGGAGGUACAAUGAUCUCUUCGAUAUUUCAGUUCUUUUGGGUGAAUUGCUACAUCAUAGGGUAACUCUAUGAUUAAUUUUUUUGAGGAACUUUCAUGUUGUUCUCCACCUCGGCCGCUCCAUUUGAUGGUGCACGGGGACUCCUGUUUCUCUGCAUCCUCGCCGCACUUGUUCUUUCCUAUUUUGUUUCCGAGUAGCCAUCCCGAUGGGUGUCAGAGCCCAUACUUACAGGCGGCGACCUGAGAUGCUAGGAGGGGCUGGUCCCAGGGCUGUUUGUGGGCCUGGGUGGGGGCCCUUGGGGAGUCUGGGCCUUCGGGCUCCUCUGCCCGCCCCUCCCAGGGCUGCGUCUUCCUUGGGGUGGUUGGUCGAUGCUCUUCCCGGCAGCCCUCAGCCCCUGGGCUCUCGCAGCGGCAGGCUGUGGCUUCCUGCUGCUGCCUUGCCUCAGUCCUUUGAGCCCCUGGGCCCUCGUACCUGCACUGUGGUGUGGUUUAGAGCAUGAAGCUCUGUCCCCCAAACCGUGAGCUUCUAGGCCCACG